rnacentral:lncRNA from 10 species
UAUCUAAGCCACGACCCCUGCCUCUACAUGCUUAAAAUUUAAGUGGUAAGAUAAAACAUACAGACAUAAAGUCAGUGGUAUGUUGAAGUCAGUUCAUAUUAGCUUAUGAGAGUUGAUUGUUAAAAUUUCAGGAAUUAGGCAAGCCUGUUGUUAAACAUUGUCAUCUUGGGAUGUCAAACCUAAGCCAAAAACAAUCAAACAAACAAACAAACAAUCACUGACAUCAUUCAAAAUUGAAUUAUAUAAGCUAGUAGUUCAAUUAUAUAAAGAACAAAGGCAGUAAAUACUCAAAAUACGUCACUUCUUUUUUAUUUAUUACAAUUUACCAUUGUCUGUGUUCUUGAGGGUUUUUAAAAAAAUAUCCUCAGAAAAUACUACACAGUACAAUGGCGCACAACUAUAUGUUUUUUUUCCUAACUCCAUGUUUAGAGAUGUCACAUUGGUAAUUUGGAAGCAGCCAUGCUACCAUAUUUAUAGCAUGGAAAACAGCAAACUCUAAAAAUCAGUCGACCCACCCUGCUUUCCCUGGCUGCAGCUGAAUAUUACACAUUUACCAGCACAUCAUUACAUGGGAUGAUAAUUAUCAAUGCAAAGCACGAUAUAUCAAAGAUCAGUUGAAUGGUUUAGAAUUAUAGGCACAGUAGAAGUUAAGAAAAGGGAGUAAUAAACGAUAGUUCUCAGCAAGCCUAAAAAGAUAAGAACAAGAAAUCUUACUUAGAGGACUAUAAAAAUAAACUUGGCAGUGAUUUCAUCAACGAGAAAUGUUAUAACAGCCACAAUAAACAUACCAAGUCUGCAUUUGGAGGGAUGAAGUGGCUUAUUUCUACUUUCUUAAAGAGUAUCUUUAUACUGGUGCAUUUAAUUGCCUAUUGCCAAUGCUAAGAUUAUAAAAUAGAAAUCAAGGCAUUAUUCUGAGACCAGACAUAGUGGCUAAGCCUGUAAUCCCAGCACUUUGGGAGGCCAAGGUGGGAGAAUCACUCGAGCCCAGGAGUUCAAGACCAGCCUGGGCAACAUAGGGAGAUCCUGUCGCUACAAAUAAGUUAAAAAUUAGCCAGGUAUGGUGGCAUGCGCCUGUGGUCCCAGCUACUUGGGAGGCUGAGAUGGGAGGAUCACUUUAGCCUGGGAGGUCGAGGCUGCAGUGAGUGAUGAGCACACCACUGUACUCCAGCCUGUGGAAUGGAAUGAGACCCAGUAUCAAAAAAAAAAAAAAAAAAAAAAAAAAAAGCAUUAGUCUGAAUAACACUGAUAAGACCCUAACUUACAGCACCUGGAUUUUUUUCUUUCAGAAAAAGUUCUCUUCAGAGAAAGUUCCUUUCUCUGACCUCCUCUUUUAUCUUAUCAGCUCUUGAACACUCUAACUCCCACUACAGCUACUCAAUGACCUCACUGAAGUCUCAGAUAUCUUUGUUAUUGGAAAGGGAUCCUGUUCCUGACAUUGUCCUGGUGUUUGCAAA